rnacentral:rRNA from 1 species
UGGGGAAUAUUGGACAAUUGGCGCAAGCCUGAUCCAGCCAUGCCGCGUGAGUGAUGAAGGCCCUAGGGUUGUAAAGCUCUUUCACCGGUGAAGAUAAUGACGGUAAACGGAGAAGAAGCCCCGGCUAACUUCGUGCCAGCAGCCGCGGUAAUACGAAGGGGGCUAGCGUUGUUCGGAUUUACUGGGCGUAAAGCGCACGUAGGCGGACUUUUAAGUCAGGGGUGAAAUCCCGGGGCUCAACCCCGGAACUGCCUUUGAUACUGGAAGUCUUGAGUAUGGUAGAGGUGAGUGGAAUUCCGAGUGUAGAGGUGAAAUUCGUAGAUAUUCGGAGGAACACCAGUGGCGAAGGCGGCUCACUGGACCAUUACUGACGCUGAGGUGCGAAAGCGGGGGGAGCAAACAGG